rnacentral:rRNA from 1 species
CAAUAGCGUAUAUUAAAGUUGUUGCAGUUAAAAAGCUCGUAGUUGGAUUUCUGGUAGGAGUGACCGUUCCGAACUUGAUCGUUCGUGUAUUGUGUUUUCUCCAGCCAUCCUUGUGGAGAACUUUUCUUGCAUUAAUUUGUAGGGAUUGGGACCCGCAUCGUUUACUGUGAAAAAAUUAGAGUGUUUAAAGCAGGCAAUCGCUUGAAUACAUUAGCAUGGAAUAAUAAGAUAGGACUUUGGUACUAUUUUGUUGGUUUGCAUACCAAAUUAAUGAUCAACAGGAACAGUUUGAGGAUAUUCGUAUGAACAUGUCAGAGGUGAAAUUCUUGGAUUUGAUCAGACGAACUACUGCGAAAGCAUUUAUCAAGGAUGUUUUCAUUAA